rnacentral:rRNA from 1 species
UACGUAGGUGACAAGCGUUGUCCGGAUUUACUGGGCGUAAAGAGCGCGCAGGCGGUCGUUCAAGUCGAGUGUGAAAGCCCCCGGCUCAACUGGGGAGGGUCAUUCGAUACUGAUCGACUCGAAGGCAGGAGAGGGAAGUGGAAUUCCCGGUGUAGUGGUGAAAUUCGUAGAUAUUCGGAAGAACACCAGUGGCGAAGGCGGCUCACUGGUCCGGUACUGACGCUGAGGUGCGAAAGCGUGGGAGCAAACAGG